rnacentral:rRNA from 1 species
UACGUAGGGGGCAAGCGUUGUCCGGAAUCAUUGGGCGUAAAGCGCGUGUAGGCGGUCCGGUAAGUCCGCUGUGAAAGUCGGGGGCUUAACCCUCGGAUGCCGGUGGAGUACUGUCGGGCUUGAGUACGGAAGAGGCGAGUGGAAUUCCUGGUGUAGCGGUGAAAUGCGCAGAUAUCGGGAGGAACACCGGUGGCGAAGGCGGUUCUACUGGGCCUGUACUGACGCUG